AGCGUUAUCCGGAAUUAUUGGGCGUAAAGAGCUCGUAGGCGGUUUGUCGCGUCUGCCGUGAAAGUCCGGGGCUCAACCCCGGAUCUGCGGUGGGUACGGGCAGACUAGAGUGAUGUAGGGGAGACUGGAAUUCCUGGUGUAGCGGUGAAAUGCGCAGAUAUCAGGAGGAACACCGAUGGCGAAGGCAGGUCUCUGGGCAUUAACUGACGCUGAGGAGCGAAAGCAUGGGGAGCGAACAGGAUUAGAUACCCUGGUAGUCCAUGCCGUAAACGUUGGGCACUAGGUGUGGGGGACAUUCCACGUUUUCCGCGCCGUAGCUAACGCAUUAAGUGCCCCGCCUGGGGAGUACGGCCGCAAGGCUAAAACUCAAAGGAAUUGACGGGGGCCCGCACAAGCGGCGGAGCAUGCGGAUUAAUUCGAUGCAACGCGAAGAACCUUACCAAGGCUUGACAUGAACCGGAAACGCCUGGAAACAGGCGCCCCGCUUGCGGUCGGUUUACAGGUGGUGCAUGGUUGUCGUCAGCUCGUGUCGUGAGAUGUUGGGUUAAGUCCCGCAACGAGCGCAACCCUCGUUCCAUGUUGCCAGCGGGUUAUGCCGGGGACUCAUGGGAGACUGCCGGGGUCAACUCGGAGGAAGGUGGGGACGACGUCAAAUCAUCAUGCCCCUUAUGUCUUGGGCUUCACGCAUGCUACAAUGGCCGGUACAAAGGGUUGCGAUACUGUGAGGUGGAGCUAAUCCCAAAAAGCCGGUCUCAGUUCGGAUUGGGGUCUGCAACUCGACCCCAUGAAGUCGGAGUCGCUAGUAAUCGCAGAUCAGCAACGCUGCGGUGAAUACGUUCCCGGGCCUUGUACACACCGCCCGUCAAGUCACGAAAGUUGGUAACACCCGAAGCCGGUGGCCUAACCCCUUGUGGGAGGGAGCUGUCGAAGGUG
rnacentral:rRNA from 1 species